rnacentral:lncRNA from 1 species
GGUUUACGUUAUCCUUACCAUUCCAGAAGGAAAAGAGCUCUUCAUUGUCUUGGGAGUGGAGCAACAUCUGAGAGUUCACAUCAGAAAUAGGAAGCAGGAAGCAGAGAGAGCCAACUUGAAACGAGAAGAGUCUUUUGAAACAUCAAAUCCCACCACUGAAGGUGAACCAAAUCUUCAUCAGGAAAUAGAUUUAAAGGAAAUGCUGAAGACAAGUUGCCCUGUGUCGUGGAGAUCCUGUCGCUUUGGAACAGCAGGAGGAACAACAGCUUUUUCAUGCGCUC